GACGAACGCUGGCGGCGUGCCUAAUACAUGCAAGUUGAGCGAUGAAGAUUGGUGCUUGCACCAAUUUGAAGAGCAGCGAACGGGUGAGUAACGCGUGGGGAAUCUGCCUUUGAGCGGGGGACAACAUUUGGAAACGAAUGCUAAUACCGCAUAACAACUUUAAACAUAAGUUUUAAGUUUGAAAGAUGCAAUUGCAUCACUCAAAGAUGAUCCCGCGUUGUAUUAGCUAGUUGGUGAGGUAAAGGCUCACCAAGGCGAUGAUACAUAGCCGACCUGAGAGGGUGAUCGGCCACAUUGGGACUGAGACACGGCCCAAACUCCUACGGGAGGCAGCAGUAGGGAAUCUUCGGCAAUGGGCGAAAGUCUGACCGAGCAACGCCGCGUGAGUGAAGAAGGUUUUCGGAUCGUAAAACUCUGUUGGUAGAGAAGAACGUUGGUGAGAGUGGAAAGCUCAUCAAGUGACGGUAACUACCCAGAAAGGGACGGCUAACUACGUG
rnacentral:rRNA from 1 species